rnacentral:siRNA from 1 species
ACAAGCAAAUGGUUUGUGGUGUGU